UGAAGAAAAGUAUAUUUCACUUCAGAGCAAGAUUUUAUGAAAUUUCCCUUUUUACUGCAGCUGUCACAUUGUCCUGUGUGCCCUAGAAACCCUCACCCCUUGUCCUGCCUGAUACACGGGUGUCCUGAAAGGUGGCAAGCUUGGCUCUGCUGUGCAGGGCUCUAUGGAUCAGUUCCAACACCUGUGAUUGCACCAAUGUAAACAGGAAAGUGAUGUGAUCCCUGGAGCUGGGAAAUUGGCUGCACCCCCAUCUGAUUCAUCCUGGAUUCCUUGCAAGCUGGCCUCAGACCUGGAGAUGCAACUGGUGGCGGUGGUGGAUGAUCUUACAGCUACGCACGGAGGCAGGUUAGUUCUAGCGAUGAGUAGCGUUACUAAACCAGGCCUGAGUCCUGAGUAGGUGCCAGCUCUCUGCAUUGCUCACCCGGAAAUGGGUCUCUUCAGUUAAAUACGGUAAAGUGUGCGGCUCAGGCUCAUUCUGUGAUUCGUCAGCCGAAGGCAAUUCAGCUGGUUCCCUGGUUUCUUCGCUGCACCCAGCAACACCAAGAGACGAUGCUCCCCAACGCCGUUGUUACGAAUAGCCACACAGAACACAGCACCACAGCAGCG